rnacentral:lncRNA from 1 species
GCCUACAAGUUUCCAUCCUGAGAAGCCCUUUGCCACCCACUGGAAUUAUACUGCAGUAUUAUCCUAAAAGUACCUUUGGCUAUUCACUUAGGCCAUCAACAGAAUAACAACAUAUUUUAUUUGAAUAUCCAAAUAAUACCUUAUAAAGAACAAUGUUUAAUAUAUAUCCUCUUGAGAACUUGUGUGUGUGUUGUGUGUGUGUGUGUGUGUGUGUGUGUGUGUGUGUGUGUGUGUAUGCGCGCGCGUGUGCGCGCACACUCAUUUGUUUCCACAAUGCCAAAUGUAAACUUAGAAGAAACAGGACAGUGACAUUUGGAAUAAGAGGUUGGUAGCUAAGUGUUGGCUCUCAAAACAAAAUUACCUGCCACAGGAUGUUAACAUUUGGCUGGCAUGGGUCACCUUUGUAGUGGAAGUAGGCAAAUAGAAUAGAACUGUAGCAAAAUAAAGAAAAUUGGCAAGUACAGAAGAAAUAAACAACAACUUCAGCAGCUGAUCAAUAAAUAUUUAUCAAAGACUUGCCCCAUUGGAGAAUUCGGUGUUAGAGAUAGGUUAAAUGAUUCUAAGUAGCAGAACAGUGCUUUUUCUGGAACUCAAAAAUUUAAUGAAAAAAAAAAAGCAAACAUAAUUUAAUGUUACUCCCUUAUGUUCUUUACAUCUGUUUUAGGGGACAUAUCUAAAAUGAUUUUGACUAUUAUUCAGUCUACUUUCAAAGGAUAAGACUGUUUCUAACGUUUUAUGUGGCAGCACUUUUAACUUGAGAAACAGAAGGGAACAGCAUUGUACCAAAAUCUUUGGGGAAGAAUGUAAUAAUGUCCAUAUUUUCAAUUUAUUUAAACAUUUUUAUGAGAAACUAUUCUAGGUAAAUUAUAUAUACAAAACCAUAGAGGAAAGCUAUGCUUUCCUGAGGAUAUCAGUGGUUUGGUUCUUCGACUGUAAAUAUUAAGCUGUAGUAUGAAAUAAGAGAAACUUAGACCUUUUCCCCAGAUACAAUUUUAUCUUAGUGCUACAAUUUUGGUCCCAUCAACCAAAACAUAUUUUUGUUUAAUAGUAAUUAUAUUUAAUAUUGUAAUCUGUUGUGUAUUACCAUCCAUCACAUAUUCAGCAUUUAAGAAAUAGUUACUGAUUCAUGAAUGAGUGAAAUGGGAUAUUCUGGCAGAAAAACCAUAUCCCUAAUGAAAUUGUAUUUUUACAUUAGCUUUACUUUAAAAUAAAAGGCAGUAAGCAAGAGAAUAGAAUAUAUGAUAAAUUUAUAGUUCAGAAUAAAAAGAAAAAAAAUUUCCAUGAAACAAAUGAAAAUUGUAUAGAAGUGCAGAUUGGAAAUGUCCUAAUAUUUCCAAUGAAAGACAAUUUUAAGGUGGGGACCCAUCUCCCAUUUUAAAAACUAAAAACAAAUGUAAAUGAUUUGUGUGUGUGUGUGUGUGUGUGUGUGUGUGUGUUGUGUGUGUUUUACUUCAGAAUCCUUACAGAUAACUACCCAGCUAAUCUUCUAAUUCCCUGUAGCACACCAAAUUUCAGCUACUAUCCUCUCUAAGGGAUGUGUGCAGCUUUGUGCUUAUUUCUCUUUCUCCUUCCUCUCAUCCUUUAAAACGCCUUGUUAUUUUAUGUCUUAGGGAUUCUUCAAUUUGCAUUCGGUCUAAUAAAAUGUGGGAGAAAAACGUUCUUUAAUAGCAGCCACUCCAGUAAUCAAGAUGAAAAUAUAAUAACAGGAUGUUAAAAUAUUGUCUCACUUGAAAUAGAUGUAAUUUAAAAUACAUGGCGCCUGCUUUAGAUACUUUGCAGACAUUAAAUUGGACACCUGAUUAGGAUAGCCAGGGAAGAACCCUGUGAAACAAAACCAUGGAGAGAUAGCUGAGAGGGAAAUCUGCUGUAUAAGAACCAUCAUCAAGAGAAAGUUUAGUGUUUUUGAGGUUUGGCUGUUGAUGUAUUUGAAGUGACCCUGAGCAAAGCCAUGAACAGCAAGGAAGGCAACUCUUUACUCAUUCUGCAGCUUAAGUGGGUGAUUAUACUUACAACAUACCACUGCCUAGAACAGUGGUUCUCAACCUUCCUAAUGCUAUGACCCUUUAAUAUACUUCCUCUUGUUAUGGUGACCACCAUCCAUAAAAUAACUUUUGGUUGAAGUGGGACUCAGGCUCCCUAAACAUAUUUAGCAGAUGUGUUGUGCAACUUAGUCUUCAUGUGGGUCCACUAACAGCAGGAGCAGAAUCUGUAUCUGAUUCUGCUGCUGGCCUUUGGGUCCCUUUCCCCCAAUUGGACUGCCUGGUCUAGCUUUAGUAGGAGAAGGUUCAUAUAAACCUACUGCAACUUGAUCCACCAUGAAGGGUUGAUAUCCACGGGAGUCCUCUCCUUCUUUGAAGAGAAAGGGAGAGGAAGAUGAAGGGAGGGGAGAGGAGAGGGUGGGAUUAGGAAUAGAGGAGGGAGGGGAAGUUGUGAUCUGGAUGUC